rnacentral:lncRNA from 1 species
GGGCCGCCCUCGUUCCUCCCGGAGCGCAGCGACAGCUCCUCCCCGCGUCUCGGGUUUCAAUGGCUGGGCCUGCCCGAAAGCUCUGGGCCCCCGCGUCCCAAUUUUUUCUUUAUUUUUGAAGGAUAAUAUUGCUGGACAUAGAAUUCUUUGUUGACAUUGGUCAGCUCUUUGAAUAUGUCAUCCAGUAUCUUCUGGCCUCCGUGGUUUAUGGUUUUGGCAGAGUUCAAAGACUGGGAAGCAAAGUUCAGCCAUGUUGGGCCUUUGGGCUCAUAGAUGAGCAAGGGUACCCCAAUAUGAGGGCUCAGCAAAUUCUGGAACUUAUCAGUUCUGAAGACCUUUAGAGGAGAAGGAGACAAGUAAAAGGUAUGUAGUCCUGGAGGGCGCUGCUUAAUGAACCAGAAGUCCUGCCUCUUAAGUACCUCACCAGCUCAAAUGUGUGCAUGUCACCUUGGCGUGAAUCGGAGCAGGCGCUGGUGGAUACCGUUUGGAGGCAUGCCAGCAAGGAGCUCCUUGUGUAGCCUGCCUCUGGAGCCUCAAGUUCAACUUCCAUAGGGCCAAAAGGGGAGUCGGGCUGGGCAGAAGCUCCUGAGAACCAAAGCAAAUGGUCUGAGAGUCUGAGAGUGUAGUGGAGGUAACGUGUUCGUGUCCUCUCUGGCUGCAUCACCCCAAGUCCUUGCAGACUCAAGUAGCCUAUUUGCAAGUUUAAAUAGUUUGAGUCCUGGCCGGUAACAAGAAUACUCUACAGUGGCCCAGAGUCAGGGAUAUAGAGUGGCGACUACUUGGCAGAACUGGAGCUUGCUCAGAUGAAAAGAUAAAUUGUACUGGUUAAACGAA